rnacentral:rRNA from 1 species
CAGUAGCCGCGGUAAUACGGAGGGUGCAAGCGUUAAUCGGAAUUACUGGGCGUAAAGCGCACGCAGGCGGUUUGUUAGGUCAGAUGUGAAAUCCCCGAGCUUAACUUGGGAACUGCAUUUGAAACUGGCAAGCUAGAGUCUUGUAGAGGGGGGUAGAAUUCCAGGUGUAGCGGUGAAAUGCGUAGAGAUCUGGAGGAAUACCGGUGGCGAAGGCGGCCCCCUGGACAAAGACUGACGCUCAGGUGCGAAAGCGUGGGGAGCAAACAGGAUUAGAUACCCCAGUAGUCCCUGUCUCUUAUAA